GACGAACGCUGGCGGCGUGCUUAACACAUGCAAGUCGAACGGAAAGGCCCUGCUUUUGUGGGGUGCUCGAGUGGCGAACGGGUGAGUAACACGUGAGUAACCUGCCCUUGACUUUGGGAUAACUUCAGGAAACUGGGGCUAAUACCGGAUAGGAGCUCCUGCUGCAUGGUGGGGGUUGGAAAGUUUCGGCGGUUGGGGAUGGACUCGCGGCUUAUCAGCUUGUUGGUGGGGUAGUGGCUUACCAAGGCUUUGACGGGUAGCCGGCCUGAGAGGGUGACCGGCCACAUUGGGACUGAGAUACGGCCCAGCAUCCUACGGGAGGCAGCAGUGGGGAAUAUUGCACAAUGGGCGGAAGCCUGAUGCAGCAACGCCGCGUGCGGGAUGACGGCCUUCGGGUUGUAAACCGCUUUCGCCUGUGACGAAGCGUGAGUGACGGUAAUGGGUAAAGAAGCACCGGCUAACUACGUG
rnacentral:rRNA from 1 species